NNNNNNNNNNNNNNNNNNNNNNNNNNNNNNNNNNNNNNNNNNNNNNNNNNNNNNNCGGCGGCUGCGGCCGGGACGGAGGCUGCGGGCUCCCAACCCGCGCUGCCCGCUUGGGUCCGAACGCGCUGGCGGAAGCACCGAAACGUGUGCUCGUUUGCGGCGCUGGACUGCAGGCACUGACCUUGCCCUCCAGUUAGAGCUUCAGUUUCCAGAUGCCAAGAAAAAACGAGGUUUUCUUCCCUUUUGCGAUCACUGUACCAUGAGCCUGUCGCCUACGCCUGCUCCGUUUCUUCCCCUAAACUCUGCUUUCUUUGGUUUGUUUCUUCUGGGAUGGGACGUGAAGUCAGUGUUUUCAGAGAAACAAAACAGCUUCCUGACGAAGUACUCCUCUGCGUCGAAGAGGCAGACUGUCCAUGUUGUAGUAAUUGCUUUAAAGUGAGUGGAAAAUUGGGAAAAGUUCAAGUGAAUUUUUAUCUUCAUCUGGAUCUCAUUGGAAUACCUACUCACACUCAAUGGAAACAUUCUAGUGGGUUUUUUUUUUUUUAAGAAUCAGAAAUAUUUAAGCAGAGACCUCGGGAUGGUAGAUUUUCUAAUGAAACCAAUACACAAUUUUACUUUUGUAUGAUUUUUUUUUCUAUUAUUAGAGAUCCUUGAGUCCCAAUUAAGAAACUACAAUACAAAAUCUUUACUAAUGCUUUUAUUAAAUUUCAAAACAGCAAAAAUUUUAAUAAAGAACCCAGAAUCUCAAGAUAUAAAUAGCUAUUGCUGAGAACCUAACAUUAACUCUGCCUCUGAACAGCCAUUAAAAGAGGCUAAUAACAGUGAUAUAUGCCACUUUAGAAAUGAAAGAACCCUAGUAAUUAUGAACUUCAAACAAAUCUAGCAAAUUAGUAUCAAUUUUGUUCGUAUGAAGUAUGUUCACCACGGUAAUAACACAUUUUAAAUUCUUGAUUUUCCUUUGAACACUGUUAAAGAUUCAUCACUUCUUGCCUGAACAAUAAGAAAGUGUUCUUAACAUUGGAAAAUAUAUUUGAAGCCAAGACAUCAUCCAGCUUGAAUUUUUUAAAAAAUGAGUGCUUCCUACACCAAUAAGAGAAAAACAUCGAUAUUACAAAAUUCUGAAAAUCAGACUCAAACGAAGAACAAAGCAAUCUUUACUCAAUAUUCACAAUGCCAGCCUUUCUUUGUGAAUAUUUAUAAAAAUGUUCUCCUUCCUUAUUGGUUUAAAUUCUAAGCCAAUAGCAGAAGUACAACACAUCUUUGAAAGGAUGAGAUAUUAGCACUGGCUUAAAACAUUGGAUAAAUAGAUUGUUUUUCAUGCUCGUUCUCAUUUAAGAUCAUGUAUCUUUUCAUUUCAAAGAAGAAAUUUAAGAAUAUUUGAAUGGUUGAGUAUCUUGAUGUACCUUAAAUACCAAAUUGCUACUCUUGAUCACACUCUGCUCUCUGUAAUCUUCCCAUUGGUUACAUUACAGUUUGCUAAAAUAUUUUAAUUCUCUAAAAUGCCAGAUGAAUCUAAAGAAUGACUAAAUGCCUACAACCUAAUACUUUAAGUAAGAUGAAAACUGCCAUUUCUUUCUAUGAAAGAUAACCUUUAAGGAAAUAAUAGUUUCUCUUUUAGAAAAUGUCUUGGAUUUUUGUAAAUAAAAUGGCCAAUGCAUCAUAAGUAAAUCUUUAAUAUUUGUCUAAAGCCAUCUUUGGCCUAUUUAAUGGCUAAAUACUAAACCUGCUUGUUGAUGUUUAUAUUUAUGUUUAGAACAUCAGUAUGAUUUCCUCCCAAUCAAAAAUAAUCUCUGCUUUCACAUUCUUUGAUUUUGACUCAGCAUUCUGCUUAAUUAUAAUUAUUUACAUAUUUAUAAUUUCCCUCAGUAAUUCAUCAGUUCCUUGAAGAUAGAUUCCAUUCCCCAUUCAAUCUUUUAUUCCUCAGAACCUUGUACAAUAUAAACAAUCCAGGGAUAUUUGCUGAAUGAAAGAAUGAGUGAGCGUUGCUCUACAACACAGCAUAUGGCAAAUCAAAGAAAAUCUGUCUCAGGACUUUUUCCUCCUGUACAUAAUAACUGAUAAAUACUUGUUUUCAUUCCAAUUAAACUUAGAAUAACAUUGUUCCAUUGCUGUUAAGUGGGCUCUACAACCAGAAUGGAGCCCAAUGUGGGGCCGAACUUACAACCCCAAGGUCAAGCCCCCAAGAUAAGUACUGAGCUAAGAUCAAGAGUCAGACACUUAACCAUUUGACCACCCAGGUGCCCCUAGAAUAGCAUCGUUGCAAGAAAGCUACUGAAAGAGAAUAAGACCAACAUAUGCUGGAGCGCCUGUAUUUUUCAAUUUUAAAUCUAGUGGAAACUGGAUAGUGGGUAAUAUUGCUGUCAUCUAAAGUAAAUAAGUAUCAGUGGACUUAUCUUUAUAAAGGAUUGCUUUACCAUGCUUAACAAGAGCUACGAGCUCUGUGACUUCAGGAAGAUUAUUUUAAGCCCUCUAAAACUCACUCAUUUCUCAAAUGCAUUCAUUAUAUUCACUUUAUGAUUAAUUGAAAUAAUGAAACCAUGUAAAAAUACUCAAUAGAAAGUAGUUACUAUUACUUGCAAAUAUUAGUGGGCUCAAUCAUGAAGAAAAAUGACUUUCUGUGCAAUUAUCUAUAAACGGCAGGCAUAAAGUUGUGUUUAAAAGAUUUUUAAGGGGCACCUGGGUGGCUCAAUGGGUUAAAGCCUCUGCCUUCAGCUCUCCAUCAUGAUCCCAGUGUCCUGGGAUCAAGCCCCACAUGGGGUUCUAUGCUCGUCGGGGAGCCUGCUUCCCCCAACUCUCUCGGCCUGCCUCUCUGCCUACUUGUGAUCUGUCAAAUAAAUAAAAUCUUUAAAAAUAAAUAAAUAAGUGGGGCGCCUGGGUGGCUCAGUGGGUUGGGCCGCUGCCUUCGGCUCAGGUCAUGAUCUCAGGGUCCUGGGAUCGAGUCCCGCGUCGGGCUCUCUUCUCGGCGGGGAGCCUGCUUCCUCCUCUCUCUCUCUCUGCCUGCCUCUCUACUUGUGAUGUCUCUCUGUCAAAUAAAUAAAUAAAACCUUUAAAAAUAAAUAAAUAAGUAAAAGAUUUUUAAAUGAGGAAACAAAUAUCCUGAGGGAAGGAAUAGAAUACUAACCACAUCUACUAAUGGGAGAUAACUUUUGAGAAUUGAAGUUUGCUAGGAGAAUAGAUCUUAAGUAUUCUACGCAUAUGUACCCCCCCACACAAGGUAAUCAUAUGAGGUGAUGGAUGUGUUAACCAUUCCACAAUAUAUGUUAAAUCACGUUGUACACACAUAAGUAUGUAUAAUUUUAUCAAUUGUAUAUCGGUAAAGCUGGGUGGGGAGGUAGAAGGAAGAGAAAAAAGUCAACCUACUAUUGAGAAACCAAAGAACAAUAACAAAAAAUAAGCAAGCAAAAAACAAAAAUAAGCAAACUGGAACAAGAAAAUAUAAGAAGAAAGAGGGCGUUGCAGACUGAGUGAAAACUUCAUGAAAAAUGAAAUCUGACUGCAUCAGAAACUUCACAGCUCCCCACUAUUUAUUUUAGCUUUUCUCAAAAUUGUAAGAAACACUGUAUGAGAAAAUCUGUAAAUGAAGGGUAAAUAAAUUAUACCUUUCCUUUAAACUGGAA
ensembl:lincRNA